rnacentral:rRNA from 1 species
GAUGAACGCUGGCGGCGUGCUUAACACAUGCAAGUCGAACGAUGAAGCCCAGCUUGCUGGGUGGAUUAGUGGCGAACGGGUGAGUAACACGUGAGUAACCUGCCCUUAACUCUGGGAUAAGCCUGGGAAACUGGGUCUAAUACCGGAUAGGAGCGUCCACCGCAUGGUGGGUGUUGGAAAGAUUUAUCGGUUUUGGAUGGACUCGCGGCCUAUCAGCUUGUUGGUGAGGUAAUGGCUCACCAAGGCGACGACGGGUAGCCGGCCUGAGAGGGUGACCGGCCACACUGGGACUGAGACACGGCCCAGACUCCUACGGGAGGCAGCAGUGGGGAAUAUUGCACAAUGGGCGCAAGCCUGAUGCAGCGACGCCGCGUGAGGGAUGACGGCCUUCGGGUUGUAAACCUCUUUCAGUAGGGAAGAAGCGAAAGUGACGGUGCCUGCAGAAGAAGCACCGGCUAACUACGUG